GGUUAAGUGACUAAGCGUACACGGUGGAUGCCUAGGCAGUCAGAGGCGAUGAAGGGCGUGCUAAUCUGCGCGUCGGUAGGUGAUAUGAACCGUUACAACCGGCGAUACCCGAAUGGGGAAACCCAGUGUGUUUCGACACACUAUCAUGUCAUGAAUACAUAGUGGCAUGAGGCGAACCGGGGGAACUGAAACAUCUAAGUACCCCGAGGAAAAGAAAUCAACCGAGAUUCCCCCAGUAGCGGCGAGCGAACGGGGAGGAGCCCAGAACCUGAAUCGGCUUGUGUGUUAGUGGAAGCGUCUGGAAAGUCGCGCAGCAAAGGGUGAUAGCCCCGUACACUAAAAUGCACAGGUCGUGAGUUCGAUGAGUAGGGCGGGACACGUGACAUCCUGUCUGAAUAUGGGGGGACCAUCCUCCAAGGCUAAAUACUCCUGACUGACCGAUAGUGAACCAGUACCGUGAGGGAAAGGCGAAAGAACCCCGGCGAGGGAGUGAAAUAGAACCUGAAACCGUGUACGUACAAGCAGUGGGAGCACCUUCGUGGUGUGACUGCGUACCUUUUGUAUAAUGGGUCAGCGACUUAUAUUUUGUAGCAAGGUUAACCGUAUAGGGGAGCCGUAGGGAAACCGAGUCUUAACUGGGCGAAUAGUUGCAAGGUAUAGACCCGAAACCCGGUGAUCAGCCAUGGGCAGGUUGAAGGUUGGGUAACACUAACUGGAGGACCGAACCGACUAAUGUUGAAAAAUUAGCGGAUGACUUGUGGCUGGGGUGAAAGGCCAAUCAAACCGGGAGAUAGCUGGUUCUCCCGAAAGCUAUUUAGGUAGCGCCUCGUGAACUCAUCUUCGGGGUAGAGCACUGUUUCGGCUAGGGGGCCAUCCCGGCUUACCAAACCGAUGCAAACUCCGAAUACCGAAGAAUGUUAUCACGGAGACACACGGCGGGUGCUAACGUCCGUCGUGAAGAGGAAACAACCCAGACCGCCAGCUAAGGUCCCAAAGUCAUGGUUAAGUGGGAAACGAUGUGGGAAGGCACAGACAGCCAGGAUGUUGGCUUAGAAGCAGCCAUCAUUUAAAGAAAGCGUAAUAGCUCACUGGUCGAGUCGGCCUGCGCGGAAGAUGUAACGGGGCUAAACCAUGCACCGAAGCUGCGGCAGCGACGCUUAGGCGUUGUUGGGUGGGGAGCGUUCUGUAAGCCGUUGAAGGUGGCCUGUGAGGGUUGCUGGAGGUAUCAGAAGUGCGAAUGCUGACAUAAGUAACGAUAAAGCGGGUGAAAAGCCCGCUCGCCGGAAGACCAAGGGUUCCUGUCCAACGUUAAUCGGGGCAGGGUGAGUCGACCCCUAAGGCGAGGCUGAAAAGCGUAGUCGAUGGGAAACAGGUUAAUAUUCCUGUACUUGGUGUUACUGCGAAGGGGGGACGGAGAAGGCUAGGCUAGCCGGGCGACGGUUGUCCCGGUUUAAGCGUGUAGGGGGUGUGACCUGGUAAAUCCGGUUGCAUACUAACCCUGAGGCGUGAUGACGAUGCACUACGGUGCAGAAGUAGUUGAUGCCCUGCUUCCAGGAAAAUCCUCUAAGCUCCAGGUAACAUUAAAUCGUACCCCAAACCGACACAGGUGGUCAGGUAGAGAAUAUCAAGGCGCUUGAGAGAACUCGGGUGAAGGAACUAGGCAAAAUGGUGCCGUAACUUCGGGAGAAGGCACGCUGGCAUGUAGGUGAAGUCCCUUGCGGAUGGAGCCGAAGCCAGUCGAAGAUACCAGCUGGCUGCAACUGUUUAAUAAACACAGCACUGUGCAAACACGAAAGUGGACGUAUACGGUGUGACGCCUGCCCGGUGCUGGAAGGUUAAUUGAUGGGGUCAGCCGCAAGGCGAAGCUCUUGAUCGAAGCCCCAGUAAACGGCGGCCGUAACUAUAACGGUCCUAAGGUAGCGAAAUUCCUUGUCGGGUAAGUUCCGACCUGCACGAAUGGCGUAAUGAUGGCCAGGCUGUCUCCACCCGAGACUCAGUGAAAUUGAACUCGCUGUGAAGAUGCAGUGUACCCGCGGCAAGACGGAAAGACCCCGUGAACCUUUACUAUAGCUUGACACUGAACAUUGAGCCUUGAUGUGUAGGAUAGGUGGGAGGCUUUGAAGCGUGGACGCCAGUCUGCGUGGAGCCAUCCUUGAAAUACCACCCUUUAAUGUUUGAUGUUCUAACUCUGCCCCAUAAUCUGGGGUGAGGACAGUGUCUGGUGGGUAGUUUGACUGGGGCGGUCUCCUCCCAAAGAGUAACGGAGGAGCACGAAGGUUAGCUAAUCACGGUCGGACAUCGUGAGGUUAGUGCAAAGGCAUAAGCUAGCUUGACUGCGAGAGUGACGGCUCGAGCAGGUACGAAAGUAGGUCUUAGUGAUCCGGUGGUUCUGAAUGGAAGGGCCAUCGCUCAACGGAUAAAAGGUACUCCGGGGAUAACAGGCUGAUACCGCCCAAGAGUUCAUAUCGACGGCGGUGUUUGGCACCUCGAUGUCGGCUCAUCACAUCCUGGGGCUGAAGUAGGUCCCAAGGGUAUGGCUGUUCGCCAUUUAAAGUGGUACGCGAGCUGGGUUUAGAACGUCGUGAGACAGUUCGGUCCCCUCUGCCGUGGGCGUUGGAAGAUUGAGAGGGUUGCUCCUAGUACGAGAGGACCGGGUGAACGCACCACUGGUGUUCGGGUUGUCAUGCCAAUGGCAUUGCCCGGUAGCUAAGUGCGGAAAAGAUAAGCGCUGAAAGCAUCUAAGCGCGAAACUUGCCUCAAGAUGAGUCUUCCCUGGGCCUUUAAGGCCCCUGAAGGAACGUUUAAGACUAAGACGUUGAUAGGCUGGGUGUGUAAGUGCAGCGAUGCAUUGAGCUAACCAGUACUAAUGAUCCGUGAGGCUUAACCUU
rnacentral:rRNA from 1 species